rnacentral:lncRNA from 1 species
AUGCACUUUGACAUCCCCAACGCGCUCUCCGCGCUCGUCUCUCUUCGGCAACCAAGCGGCACCUCUCCCAGCGUCUAUCCCGGCUCGCGGACCGACACCUCAGCCUUCAUCACUUCGCGUGACAGACGCGAAGUACAACUCCUCCAUCCUCACGUCAACCCGCCGGGAAGCAAAAGCGGCCCCGACGGGGAGCCCGAGCACCUACCAGCCAGCGUUGACAACCGCAGACGCUCCGCUCCCUCUCAGAGCCCCACAGCUGCCUCCAUUACGCGCCUCAUCCGAGCAGUUGCCGAUCUCCAGUGCUGCACCUCAUCUAGGGGAGAGCCGAGCGUCAGAGCGCACCCCGACACCCCAAAACCCCCCGGCAGGGAUGGGGGCAUGGCCCCGCUCCCUCUCCCACCGCCACACCGAGGUGGGGGGGGGGGGAGCCCAGUCACGGAUGGCUCCGUCCCGCUUCAAGGCACGGAAAGCGAAGUUGCUCGCCCUGCCCGUUUCCACACACCCCCCCCGCUCUGUCACACCCGGAUUUAUCCCCGAGGCACCCCAGGCCCCCGGGGGCCGCCGCCAGACAAUGAGGAGGAGGCGACGGGCGGGGCGCUGCCGCCCCACCGCGCCCCGUUUCCCCCUCGCCGGCUCCCCCCCUUCAGGGGGGGCUCGGAGCCGCCCCUCUCUCCUCAGGGCCGGCCGAGGGAGCACCUCGCCCUCUCCCCGGGGCCGGCCGGGGGUCUCCCGUCGCCGCUUGGGGUCGCCCCGCGGAGCCGCCUCCUCGCCCCCUCAGCCCCGUGCCUGCCUCCGCCGCCGCCGCCGCUCACGGCCGCGCCGCCAUUUUGCGUCUCCCCGAGUCGUGCGCUCCCGGCGGGGCGGGCGGUGAGCCGCCGAGUCCCAGCGCCGCCGGCCGCCCGGGCCCUCGCCUCGCCGCCCGCGGCGCCCACUCGCAUCCUCCCGGCGCCUCGCAGCCCCCCGGGAGGGUUGAGCGGGGAGGGCCGGGCAGCGGCGGGCCGCGGUGCCUCAGCCUCCCCUGGCAGGGAGCGGGGCGGAGCCGCUCCG